rnacentral:rRNA from 1 species
AUUGAACGCUGGCGGCAGGCCUAACACAUGCAAGUCGAACGGUAACAGAAAGCAGCUUGCUGCUUUGCUGACGAGUGGCGGACGGGUGAGUAAUGUCUGGGAAACUGCCUGAUGGAGGGGGAUAACUACUGGAAACGGUAGCUAAUACCGCAUAACGUCGCAAGACCAAAGAGGUGGACCUUCGGGCCUCUUGCCAUCGGAUGUGCCCAGAUGGGAUUAGCUAGUAGGUGGGGUAACGGCUCACCUAGGCGACGAUUCCUAGCUGGUCUGAGAGGAUGACCAGCCACACUGGAACUGAGACACGGUCCAGACUCCUACGGGAGGCAGCAGUGGGGAAUAUUGCACAAUGGGCGCAAGCCUGGUGCAGCCAUGCCGCGUGUAUGAAGAAGGCCUUCGGGUUGUAAAGUACUUUCAGCGGGGAGGAAGGGAGUAAAGUUAAUACCUUUACUCAUUGACGUUACCCGCAGAAGAAGCACCGGCUAACUCCGUGCCAGCCGCCGCAGUAA